GAUGAACGCUGGCGGCGUGCCUAAUACAUGCAAGUCGAGCGAAUGGAUUAAGAGCUUGCUCUUAUGAAGUUAGCGGCGGACGGGUGAGUAACACGUGGGUAACCUGCCCAUAAGACUGGGAUAACUCCGGGAAACCGGGGCUAAUACCGGAUAACAUUUUGAACCGCAUGGUUCGAAAUUGAAAGACGGCUUCGGCUGUCACUUAUGGAUGGACCCGCGUCGCAUUAGCUAGUUGGUGAGGUAACGGCUCACCAAGGCAACGAUGCGUAGCCGGGCUGAGAGGGGGAUCGGCCACACUGGGACUGAGACACGGCCCAGACUCCUACGGGAGGAAGCAGUAGGGAAUCUUCCGCAAUGGACGAAAGUCUGUCGGAGCAACGCCGCGUGAGUGAUGAAGGCUUUCGGGUCGUAAAACUCUGUUGUUAGGGAAGAACAAGUGCUAGUUGAAUAAGCUGGCACCUUGACGGUACCUAACCAGAAAGCCACGGCUAACCACGUGCCAGCCGCCGCCGUAA
rnacentral:rRNA from 1 species